AACGAACGCUGGCGGCGUGCCUAACACAUGCAAGUCGAACGUGAUUGGAAGCUUGCUUCCAUGAAAGUGGCGCACGGGUGAGUAACGCGUAGAUAAUCUACCUGAUGGAUCGGGAUAACACUUCGAAAGGGGUGCUAAUACCGGAUAAGCCCACGGAGUCCUUGGACACUGCGGGAAAAGGGGGGGACCUUCGGGCCUUCCGUCAUCAGAUGAGUCUGCGUACCAUUAGCUAGUUGGUGGGGUAAAGGCCUACCAAGGCGACGAUGGUUAGCUGGUCUGAGAGGAUGAUCAGCCACACUGGAACGGAGACACGGUCCAGACUCCUACGGGAGGCAGCAGUGGGGAAUGUUGCGCAAUGGGGGAAACCCUGACGCAGCAACGCCGCGUGAGUGAUGAAGGCCCUUGGGUCGUAAAGCUCUGACAGAGGGAAAGAAAUGCAGGGGGGCUAAUAUCCCUUUUGCUUGACGGUACCCUCAAAGGAAGCACCGGCUAACUCCGUGCCAGCCGCCGCGGUAAAAC
rnacentral:rRNA from 1 species